GAUGAACGCUAGCGGCAGGCUUAACACAUGCAAGUCGAGGGGUAUAGUUCUUCGGAGCUAGAGACCGGCGCACGGGUGCGUAACGCGUAUGCAAUCUACCUUUUGCAGAGGGAUAGCCCAGAGAAAUUUGGAUUAAUACCUCAUAGUAUGUGAGAAUGGCAUCAUUUUCACAUUAAAGUCACAACGGCAAAAGAUGAGCAUGAGUCCCAUUAGCUUGUUGGUAAGGUAACGGCUUACCAAGGCAACGAUGGGUAGGGGUCCUGAGAGGGAGAGCCCCGACGCUGUGAAGAAGACACGGACCAGACGCCUGCGGGAGGCAGCAGUGAGGAAAGUUGGAGAAUGUGCGCAAGACUGAUCCAGCCAUGCCGCGUGCAGGAUGACGGUCCUAUGGAUUGUAAACUGCUUUUGUACAGGAAGAAACACUGGUUCGUGAACCAGCUUGACGGUACUGUAAGAAUAAGGAUCGGCUAACUCCGUGCCAGCCGCCGCCGUAACAC
rnacentral:rRNA from 1 species